UGAAUAAAAUAUAAAGAAAACCUCCAGAAACAGAAAUAACCGCCGAUGGAAACACGCGCCCAACGCCAAGUGAGUCAUCACACACGGAGUGAAUAAUGCAACGCACAAAUCAACACAAAGGAGCGUCCUCUUUGUGUGUCCUGGGAGUGAAUUACCUGUCUCGCUCAUAUCCACUUUCAUUACUUCCUGACAUUCAGUGCGCUCCGGUGUUUGUGCGCGCGCCGCCGCACGCCGCCCGUGCGCCUGAAUGUCACGGCCUAAUGAGAAUGGAUAUGACAGUGACAGGGCCAUCAAUGAGCCGCCUCCCCCCUCACGUGCGGCGUACGUGACGGCCGGCGCGCACAGAGGCCCCGACAAUAACCAAACUCUAUUUACCAGACCUCAUUCGCUCAAUCGGACCCAAAGUAAUUACUUUUAAAUUGCAAAACUGAGGAGCAUUAACAAACGGAUGCGCCAAUUUAGCUCCGCCUGAGGCUCGACAGCUUGUUUUCAAAUGGAAAUGAAGGUAUUUCGCUAUUGUCCGCCGCCGUAUCUUUGUGUGGCGCUUUAAGGCUUUUCUUCCCGCGAUAAAAAGGAGGGACGGCGUUUGUGAGGACGCCGGGGAUAAUUCUGGUUUAAUGGUAACACCGACACUCCUCCCGCUCAGACGGACAGCACAGGAAGCAACACUUCAACCACAAAAAACACAGAGAAACGGCGUUCGGACGGCCGGGGGAGGAGCGCGCGUUCUCCACAUGUCCGGGUCACGGCACUUCAAAGGCGGCCGUGAUUAUCAUGAUCGGCUGUAAUGAGGGGGCCACCGGGGCGAGCGCCGCUCGCUCCUUUUCCUUUAACACAGCCUGUUAUUACCGCGUUCUGUCCCUUCUCUGUGACUCGCCGCUCCUUUUAUACCGUGUAAUUCUCUGGCAAUAACAGGCCUGUCAGCCUCAACUGUCAUCGACCCCACGGGGCCGGCGAGGGCGCCCCCCGGAGCGGACUGGCACAAAGGCGGCGGGGUCGCCGUGUGGCUGACGGGGAUACGAGAGCACCAGCUAGUCGCAGCUUUCCAGGACAUGCAACAACCAGGAAUGAUUCACUGCCCCCUACUGGACACACUUGUCCUAAACAUCUCUGGUCCUGAACGUCCAAAAACAAAAGUGAUCUAAACUGAAUAGAUGGCUCCGUCGUCGUCUCCUUCCAGAUCAUUUCUUCCUCUGACAGGAAGAGGGUCUGAAAGCGGCGUUUUCAUGACAAUAAAAGGAAAUGAUAUGUAAA